GUAGAAUCCAGCCAGUCAGAGAGCAAAUCCUUGGCUUCUUCCAGCAACACCUCCACACAGCUGUUGACUUCCUCUCCCGUGAGUCUGGACUGCACAGCUUUCUCAAGUGGCUCUGUGGCAAGCUGCACUGCGUGCUGAAUCCGUUCGAGCAUCUGCUUUUUAUCGGGAUCCGUGGUCUCAUUUAAUUUUACUGAAAAUGGCUUCAGGGCGGCCUGAACAUCCUCCAAGAGCUGUGCCGCUUCAGGCCUCUUCUCCCGAUACUGCUCGAACAGGUGGUUCUGCCGGGCCCUCUUGAUGAUCUUGUCAUCAAUAUCCGUAAUGUUCAUGCAAUAAAAGACAUCAAAUUUGAAGUAAUCCUUCAACACUCUUCUCAAGAUAUCAAAAGAGAUGUAGGACCUGGCGUGCCCCAUGUGAGAUGCGUCAUAGACGGUUGGCCCACAGCAAUACCACGUCACCUUUUUCCCAUCUUGAGGUAUGAACACUUCCUUUGUUAGGAAUGAAGGAAUGACGAUCACAAGAAAUGCAAGAAACACUGCACAGGAUUACCAAAAACAGCAACAAACAUCACAGUGUGGUUUGUGUUUAGUGUAAACAAUUCAACAGAGACCAUUUUGUUUUACUGUGAAAAGUCACAGUCUCAGUGGGAGCCCAGUGAGAUGUACGGCACCUCCCACCAACUGAGCCCUGGGUGGGUGGGGCCUCUUCCUCCCUGGGGUUCUACUCAUCUAUGGAGGGAGGCGAUAAAGGGAAUCAAUGAUUUU
rnacentral:lncRNA from 1 species